rnacentral:rRNA from 1 species
UGAACGCUAGCGGCAGGCUUAACACAUGCAAGUCGAGGGGUAACAGGGAUUAGUUUACUAAUUUGCUGACGACCGGCGCACGGGUGAGUAACGCGUAUACAAUUUACCUUUUACAGGAGGAUAGCCCAGAGAAAUUUGGAUUAAUACUCCAUGGUAUUACGAAAUCGCAUGGUUUUGUAAUUAAAGUUUCGGCGGUAAAAGAUGAGUAUGCGUCCUAUUAGCUAGUUGGUAAGGUAACGGCUUACCAAGGCGACGAUAGGUAGGGGUCCUGAGAGGGAGAUCCCCCACACUGGUACUGAGACACGGACCAGACUCCUACGGGAGGCAGCAGUGAGGAAUAUUGGUCAAUGGAGGCAACUCUGAACCAGCCAUGCCGCGUGCAGGAAGACUGCCCUAUGGGUUGUAAACUGCUUUUAUACAGGAAGAAACUUAUCCACGUGUGGAUAACUGACGGUACUGUACGAAUAAGGACCGGCUAACUCC